CUACGGGGCGCAGCAGUGAGGAAUUUUGCGCAAUGGGGGAAACCCUGACGCAGCAACGCCGCGUGAGCGAAGAAGGCCUUCGGGUCGUAAAGCUCUGUCAAGUGGGAAAAAAAUCUUUUGAUCAAUAGUCAAAAGACUUGAUGGUACCACUGGAGGAAGCACCGGCUAAGUCCGUGCCAGCAGCCGCGGUGAAUACGGAGGGUGCAAGCGUUGUUCGGAUUUACUGGGCGUAAAGAGCGUGUAGGCGGUUUAGCAAGUCAAAUGUGAAAGCCCUGGGCUCAACCCGGGAAGUGCAUUUGAAACUGCUUCACUAGAGUAUGGGAGAGGAGAUUGGAAUUCCUGGUGUAGAGGUGAAAUUCGUAGAUAUCAGGAGGAACACCCGUGGCGAAGGCGAUUCUCUGGACCAAUACUGACGCUGAGACGCGAAAGCGUGGGGAGCAAACAGGAUUAGAUACCCUUGUAGUC
rnacentral:rRNA from 1 species